rnacentral:lncRNA from 1 species
AGAGGAAUGAGGAUAUCACACUGAAAUCUGGUAUUAUCUACAGUUAUGUGACAUUUUGUUCACGUCUUCAGCCAGGAGCCAGCUGGCACAUGCUGCAUUUCUUCACCCAGAGAAAGACACAUCUUACUCUUCUCCACACUUCUAGAACAACAGCUUCAGCACGUACAGGUGAUUUAGUGCCUCAGGUGUCCCUGAGACCGCAGUAAGCCAGAGCCUGUGCCUCCUG